ACAAAAUAAAAGUCGAGGCGCCUGCGCCAUAAAGUUAGCUGCUGUGUGCCUGCUGUGAGAGGUAGGGUGAGUGCGUGCGUGGAUGCGUGAGUGAAUGUGAGGGUGGUAGUUGUUGUAUGUCGUGUGAAUGAUUGCUUAGGGAAAAAAAAAACUACACCGUGAUCUUAUUUGAUCAGGUCGGAGUCUGGCCUUGCUCCGAUUCUGAAAUGAUAAAACCCGACAUGCGAGCCUACUACCAGGCGAUGUGCAUGAGGCAUUUCACUAUCUUCAGGGCCGCCACAACACAUUUGUGGUUCAGAAGUGAUGAAUUGAUCAGAUAUACUAGUGCCGGUAAGACCAGAGGUUUACUUCUGUGUCUCUAUCCCGGUCGAUGAGUAUAGAGGCGAUUCUGAUCUGA